rnacentral:tRNA from 1 species
GGCAUGGCCGAGUGGUAAGGCGGGGGACUGCAAAUCCUUUUUCCCCAGUUCAAAUCCGGGUGUCGCCU